rnacentral:rRNA from 1 species
CGAAUCAACGCUGGCGGCGUGCCUAACACAUGCAAGUCGAACGAGAAAGUGGAGCAAUCCAUGAGUAAAGUGGCGACCGGGUGAGUAACACGUGACUAACCUACCCUGGAGUGGGGAAUAACCUUCCGAAAGGAGGGCUAAUACCGCAUAAAGUCCUGAGGCUGAGAUGCCAUAGGACCAAAGGAGCAAUUCGCUUUGGGAGGGGGUCGCGGCAGAUUAGCUAGUUGGUGAGGUAAUGGCUCACCAAGGCAUUGAUCUGUAGCCGGCCUGAGAGGGCGCGACGGACCGACACUGGAACUGAAACACGGUCCAGACUCCUACGGGAGGCAGCAGUGGGGAAUUUUGCGCAAUGGGGGAAACCCUGACGCAGCAACGCCGCGUGGAGGAUGAAGGUCUUUGGAUUGUAAACUCCUUUCGAUCGGACGAUUAUGACGGUACCGAAGAAGAAGCCCGGCUAACUUCGUGCCAGCAGCCGC